rnacentral:rRNA from 1 species
AAUCAACGCUGGCGGCGCGCCUAACACAUGCAAGUCGAACGAGAAAGCAGGAGCAAUCUUGUGAGUAAAGUGGCGUACGGGUGAGUAACACGUGGAUCAUCUACCCUCUUGUGGGGGAUAACCCUGGGAAACCGGGGCUAAUACCGCAUAAGUCCGAGAGGAGAAAGCAGCAAUGCGCAGGAGGAGGAGUCCGCGGCCGAUUAGCUAGUUGGUAGGGUAAAAGCCUACCAAGGCUACGAUCGGUAGCCGGCCUGAGAGGGCACACGGCCA